UUGUGGAUGACUGGCACAUCAUAUAGCCAAUGAAAUUCUGAAAAACAUGACAUGCCGCUUUAGUGGGAAGUUUCAGCAGUACAGCUAAGAAGUCAGUGCGCGAAAGGUGAAAAGUGUAGUUUUGUGACUGUAACUGACUUCGGGAAGGUGAAUUAUGGCGAAACCGAAGAGGAGAACAAAAUACUCGUUCCAGGAAGUGCUGGAAGAAUGUCCUCGGCGUGAAAGCGACGAGUGUGGGGAUGAAGUUUCAGGAGUAAAUAGUGAAUCAUAUACUGACUCUGAGGCAGAAGCAAAGUUUGUAUAGGGAGGAGGCAUUACUCUCGACAAGCAAUUAUCUGAUGUAGAAUCAGACAUGGAUUGGAAGCCGGAUGCUUCUCCCCCACUCAGCAAGCGGUCACACAGAGUGGAGCAGCAGGACAUCACCUCAUGAGGAGAGGAGCUCCAUCCCCCAACUCCCCAGAGAGCUUCUGCCAGCAGGGGAAGACCAAGAGGCAGAGGACGGUGGAGAGGGAAAGGGAGAGGCAGCAGCACUCAAGCCUGGAUGUCAACAAGCACAUCUGGAGAAACAUGGAAUGAUGUUGACGUUCCAGAUAUAACACCACCACAGCCCACCUUCAGACCCACCGAUUCAUACGUACAGCUACGUACACAGUCCUGCAGCUCCUCCAACGUUUUUUUUUUUUUUUUACUGACUCUCUUUUACAGACAUUAAUUCAAAACACCAAUGACUUUGUCUCGACUCACUACUCAACACCCACCAACUCAUGGACUGAUCUGACAUUGCAGGACAUGUUUUCAUUCAUGUCUAUGGUCAUCUACAUGGGUGUAGUAAAACUCUCUGCAUUAGAUUACUGGCGAGGGGGUAAAUUGUACAGCUUGCCGUUCCCAAAAAAAGAUAAUGACUGUUAAGAAAUUCCUUACCAUCUGCCAGUCCAUUCAGCUCAGUAGCUCGGUAGAUGAUGCUGCUAACGAGUAAAGGAGAGGCACAGCAGCCUCUGAUCGUCUUUGCAACAUAAAGCCACUCUACCAGGAGAUUAGGGAUGCAUGCAAAUGGAACUAUCACCCUGGCCAGAAAAUUGCCAUUGACGAGUGAAUGGUUGCCUCCAAAGCCCGCAGUGGGCUCAAACAGUAUAUGAAAAAUAAGCCUGUUCACUGGGGAUAUAAACUCUUCGUUCUGGCAGACUCCAGAAACGGUUACACGUGGGACUUUUUUUGUCUACGAGGGAAAGCUGCAGGCAAACAGUGGCAAGAGGCUCAGUUAUGAGUCGGUGAUGGAGCUAACUGAUACACGGUUGCUGGGCACCGGAUACAAGCUCUUUGUUGACAAUUUUUACACAAGUCCCACCCUUUUCCGCAACCUUCUUCAGAAGAGGAUCUGGGCAUGCGGAACCAUCCACACAAACAGAAUUGGAUUCCUGAAAACGAAAGUCAACAGUCUGGACUCAAACUCUCCCCGUGGCAGCAUACGCUGGAACAGGAACGACUCCCUCCUCUUUGUCCAGUAGCGAGACACAAGCGACAUCUUCCUGUGUUCAACACUAUACACGGCACAUGCGGAGGACACAGCGCAAAGCAGGGUCAAAGGUGCAGAUGAGACCUGGGCAUUGAAGGACAUCCCAGUUCCACCACUGUGUACCAACCAGUGCAUGGGUGGAGUGGACCUCUCUGACACCCUGAUGGGGUACUGUAAAGUCAUCCAGAAGACCCAGAAGUAGUACAAGUCGUUCUUUUAUCAUUUCAUGGACAUCGUGAUUGUGAACACCUUCCUCCUCCACAUAGACAUUGCAAAAGGUAAAAGAGCACCAGAAGGCAUUCAGAGAGACCCUUGCUGAGUAGCUGGCAGACUUGGGAUCUCACUCCACAGCCAGACCCGUACCUCCUGCUCCACAGAGAGCACAUCACAGGCCAGCGUAGAUCAGUGGACACAGCACCACUGCUACAAUGACUGGCAUGUUGCCAAAAACCUGUAAAGGGUAUAAUUGUAUGUAAAUAUGUUGUGUAAAAAAGUAUGCAAAUAGUUUCGUGUGUUUCUUCUUAUAUAAACUGCUUUUCCACCAUA